UACGGAGGGUGCAAGCGUUGUCCGGAUUUAUUGGGUUUAAAGGGUGCGUAGGCGGCCCGGUAAGUCAGUGGUGAAAGCCUCCAGCUCAACUGGAGAACUGCCAUUGAUACUGCCGGGCUUGAGUACAGACGAGGUUGGCGGAAUUGAUUGUGUAGCGGUGAAAUGCAUAGAUACAAUCAAGAACGCCGAUUGCGUAGGCAGCUAACUAGGCUGUAACUGACGCUGAGGCACGAAAGCGUGGGGAGCGAACAGG
rnacentral:rRNA from 1 species